GAAAAUUCUAGAUAACUUGCAUAUUAGGAAGGUUGACAGAGAAAAGGCCAUAUUGAUCUUCUCAGAAAAAUUUGAGCACCUGCCGUAUAAGAGGAAGUAUAAGGAGAGUGUUGUCAGCAUUCUGCAAAAGCGUGAGAUUAGAGCAAACCAUACUCAUGGGCCCUCUCCUAGGAGAAAGUCGCAAUACUUUUAUUCUAGAUCAUUGUCUGCUGCAAAAGUUGGUUCUGUUGCUUGGCCUUCCCUUCGUCCCCUCUCGAUCGUGGGCACCACAGCAAGAGAUGAUCAAAGA
rnacentral:misc_RNA from 1 species